ACAAAGAUUUUAUAAAUUCCAAAUAUGUACAAGUAAUGAAGCUAAAGAUUAAUUAUUACAAAUUCCAACAUGCAUUUUAUUCAUGAAAGCAACUUAACAUAGAGCGAAGAAAUGAACACAUGGAGGCGUUGGUGAAAACUAUAGGAUGACAUGACUUGGUGAAACAACUUGUGCUAGCACCAAGAUCCAAACACCACCAAGAAUGUGCAAGCACAGAGACAGACAUAUGGUGGCAACAACUGAAGACUUUGCACUAACAUAUCUCACUAUCUCAAGACCACCUUCAACGACAGCUUCUUGAGCAACCUUGACACAUUUUUUCAUGUCUUGACAUACCAUCUCCAACAAAACUUCAAGGAAUGCUCUAACUAUUUCGAAUGCAAUCCUUCCACUCAUAUCAACAACAAAUUUCUUAUUUCUUGGCUCUGAUAAAGUUGAUGACACUUUUCUAACCCACCCAUCAUCAUCAUUAUCAUCAUCAUUGACAUCAUCAGGUGAGUCCUUUGAACUAUUAGAAUGUGUCAAAACUUGAUGAGAUAUUUUGACAAGAGCCUCCAUUGCACCAUUAGAAGUAGUGAUCAACAAGUUCCUCAGUUGUGUUGCAUGGUUGGGGUUAGUCAACCCUGCAAAGAGCUCAUCAAAAGUGUUGGCAUCUUUAGUCUUUUCAAGAUAAACGCCCACCAUAGAGUUAACAAAAACUUGAAUACAAUCACCAAUCAGCUCCCUAAACUCAUCACCACACACCAAAUUCAGCCAGCACGGAGUCAAAUUUGAGUUCGAAUCUCCUUUAGAUUGCAGUUCUUUACAUGCUGCCAUAACCAGAUUCCUAGCAAAGCUUUCAACAUUAGCGGAAGCAAAACCAGCACCAGUUUCAGUAAAAAGCUUAUCCAUAACUUGAUCCAUUGAACGAGAUUUGGCAUUUAAGGUAUCACCACUUCUUGCCUCCGAUUGAUAACCACGUAAAAUUCCCACAGUCAGGCCUUGUGUAACCCUUGCUAUGGACUGUGAAAAUUCAUUGGACUUGGUGAUUUUCGAAACUUGUUUCAAAGUAUUAGGAAUUUGGUCUAAUUUUGAUAAGAGAAAACCAUUCAAAUCAUUAGAAACAACUCUUAUUAUUUUAGCACAAUCAGAGAUGGCUUAAGUAAUGGAAACCAAAGCUCCUAAAAGCUUUAAAACUCUGUUUCUCUUUUGAGCUAUAGCAGGAAAGUGAUAAACUCUAUAGAAACCAUAACUGGUUAAACCAAAAAUCGCCAUUAAAGCAACCCAUUUCUUCUUCUUUUGGGAAAAAUCCAAACCCUUUAAAGCCAAUUACAGCUCCAUAAGUUGCUAAGACAAAACUCUUCGAAAAAAGCCAAGAAAACUCACCUCAAACUCAAAUGAAGUCUCCCUCUUCCUUCAAAUGAAGUCUUCUAGCCCACAUAUAUAAAAGAAAAUAAGCAAAGUUUUUUUUUUUCAAUCUAAGGUAAAUGGUUAUUACAAGUACAAAGAACAUGAAAAGGAAUAGAUAAAAACAGAAACAAGAUCAAACUUAAACUAUAUUGUAGAAUGCAAAGACGUCAAAGCAGUUGCAGAAUAAUAGAGCAGUCUGUCGCAGGGAUAAUAUUUGAUUUGCAUAUAAUAUUUAUUUAUGCAAAAAAAAAAAAAAAAGAAAGAGAGGAAUGAUAAGCAAAUUCAAGCAUUCAUUAUUAGGUUUUUGAAGUUUUUAAGUUUCAACGACCACCAGAAAAUUUACAACACGUUUGGUUGGCAUGAAUAGACAAACUAUUCCUGGAUGAUUCGGUGAUAAGCAGCUAUUCAUUAGUUUGGUUCACUGAAUCCUCCAUUCGACAGAAUUUCAUUCAUCUCCCAUUCCGCCUCUUCCCGUAAUAGCCAUUCCCCACCUGAUUUAAAGAAUAGCAAUACAGAGCCUCCACCGAAUAAGAAAAAAAACAUAACCUCCCAUUCUUACCCUUUACCACUCUCCCUCAGCAAACAUCUUAAGCCACCACACCCCAACCCUGUCUCCUAGUUCUCGUUUAGUUAUUCUCAUCCCACGACCAUCAUCGACAGAAAUCUCGACAUUAUAAAAAGCAUCCCCAAAGUUGAGACGAGUAAGGUUAUUAUUCCCCUCAAUCUCACCUCCAUUGCUCACAUGCUCAAACUUAUGAUACUUUGAAGGGCAACAGUGGUGGUCAAUCAUGUAUGCUCAACCUAUCAGAAGAUAAUAUCCUGGACACUGUGGGAGUCAUUUGUGUUGACACUGAAAGAAAUAUAGCAUAGGAGCCUCCAGUGGUGGUAUUGCACUGAAGGUCUCUGGUCGUGUGGGAUUAGCAGCAAUGUAUGGUGCAGGCUGUUGGGCCUCCUCAAAAGGACCCUUUGGGGCUCGUUUCAUAGUUGGUUGUUGUGUUAGCGGUGCUGGAGAAUACCUAAUGAAAGGAUUUUUAGCUCGGGAGUGCUGUGUCUCAUCGUCACUCUCACAGGCAGGUCCUGCCUCUGCUUGCAUGAAAGUUCUUUGCUUUGUUACUCAAGAUAGUAAUCAAGCUGAUACUGAUAAAAGUGUUGGGAUUUUAAUCGUGCAAGCGGAUGCUCCUAUCAGGGUUCCAGGAAAUCCUCCAAAACUGAAAGUUAUAGAAAUUGCAGCUGCGUACUCAUCCUUGUCUUUUGGGAUAGUAUAUUUUGGAAGUGGCAUGGAAAGGCCUAAGGUUUCUAUUCUUAGAAGAAGUAAACAGCAGAAUAGAAGUGGAAUUGAUCAUUUUGAAGCUCAAGUUGAUGUUUCUACAUGACUGAUUUUUGUUUAACCUAUUUUUUCAAGGAUAAAUUAUCAUAUCAAAUCAAAUCAAA